AAUCCCCCGCCUUCCGGCUCCGGCGGCGACGCUCGUCCCUCUCCGCUCGUCCCUCGCCGCUGCCGGGCCACCAGUGCCAGCCUGCCUCAGGAGACUCCAUUUGCGCUUAGUGUGGUCUGGGCGCCGCGCAGGCGGUCCCAGGGCGAUGCCCGGGGCCGGCGGACUGGCGUUCCCUGUGCCAAGCGGCCGCCCGCUGGCUGGCUGGCUGCAGCAGUGACAUCCUGGUCGCCGGCGUCCAGGCGGAAUCCGGGCUCCCUCCGCGGGAGGAAAGACGUCCCGCGCUCUGAAGCUCGCCCAGCGGGGAGAGGCCCUCGCUAACACGGCUUCUCCCUGACCUCUUAAUUUCAGGAGGUUUCGGAGCCUCCGAGUAUCUCUACAGCCCCCACAGGAACUGCUUCUGUUGGUCCAUCGAGGAUCGUCUUUCACCAGGAUUAUUGUAACAUCAUCUUCACCGAGCCUGCCACCCCAUAGCCUCUACCUUGGGUCCUCAUUUCCACCGAUGCAGUUUUUUUGAUGCUUUCUUUAGUAAUGUGACAUCACAUGUCCACUAUCCUCCUUUCCAGCUGCCAAAUCUAAAUAUCUUGAUCUUCUGGAACUUACUUACAAAGAAAGUCACCUUUGAGUGUAAAAAAAGAUAAACUCAAGGCAGUUUUACUCAUCUGUUGAAGACUUGACCUGAACUCAAGUGAUCCUCCCACCUCAGACUCCCACAUAACUGGGACUACAGGAGUAUGCCACCAUGCCCGGCUAAUUUUUUUUUUCUUUCUUUCUUUUUUUUUUUUUUGUGAACCAGAGUCUCACUCUGUUGCCCAGGCUGGAGUGCAGUGGCGCGUUCUCAGCUCACUGCAACCUCUGCCUCCUGGGUUCAAGCGGUUCUCCUGCCUCAGCCUCCUGAGUAGCUGGGACUACAGGUGCCCGCCACCGUGCCUGGCUAAUUUUUUGUAUAUUAGUAGAGAUGGGGUCUCACUGUGUUGCCCAGUCUGAUCUCAACUCGGCUCAAACGCCCUGGCCUCUCAAAGUGCUGGGAUUACAGGCAUGAGCCACUGCACCCACCCCAUAAUACUAUUCAUUCCUUGAACACAUACAUACUUUUUACUAAUUUAGGAGAAAAAAUAGGGUAAUCCUUACCAAAUUACUCAAAAUCUUAUCUUUAAAGACAUGCUGCUUUAUUCCUUUUAAAUAUAUAAAGUAGGCCAGGCACGGUGGCUCAUGCCUAUAAUCCCAGCACUUCGGGAGGCCGAGGCGGGUGGAUCACGAGGUCAGGAAAUCAAGACCAUCCUGGCUAACACGUGAAACCCUGUCUCUACUAAAAAUACAAAAAAUUAGCCAGGCGUGGUGGCGGGUGCCUGUAGUCCCAGCUACUCGGGAGGCUGAGGCAGGAGAAUCGCUUGAACCCGGGAGGCAGA
rnacentral:lncRNA from 1 species